rnacentral:sRNA from 1 species
GUGCAAGAUGCCGCUGCCGGUUCAGGUGUUUAACUUGCAGCAGUAGGUCAGACCUCGUCCUGCCCGGCACGGCCGGGGACUUCAGCCUGAGCGCCAGCCUGUCGGCCUGUACGCUGCUCUACGAGCCCAGUAUUGCUGCUCCGCUGCUCAGGACAGAUUCCGGGGGCUGGUCCUCCUGCCUCCUGGGGUUGAGGUGGCGUCCCGUUCUUCUCCGUGGCUUGGAGGAAACUACAUCAGGAUGGUGGCUGGGAACGUGUAGGGGCCCUCAGAGGCCCCUGUGUAGUUGGUUGUCCCCUGUCUACUUUCUGGCUUUCAGAGAUGAGCGGCUAGAAUCAAGCGAGGGGUUUCUGCUUCUGAGCCUUAGAGUCUUGUGAGGAGACCCCUCCCUGAUGUGCUGGCAUAGGAGCCUGGGUGGGGGCGAAGGUGACUGGGAGGGCACACCUGGGGGACAGCAGCGGCGGGAGCGUGGUCCCAUUGGCCUGGAAGAUCUCGGGCACAGCUGACCUCAGAGAACAGUGCGGGUCUCUCGCCUUCC